AAUUAUAUAGAAAAUCAGAUACUUUAUCUACCUCAGUUUCCAUGACAGAAUUUUAACGAAAGCAAAUCUUAUCAAACGAGGUUGGAAAGGUAAGGACAGCUGUGCUCUUUGUGGAUCAAACUCAGAAACGAUAGAUCACCUCCUUCUUCAAUGCUCGUUCUCAAGAUCAGUCUGGACAUCCCUGCUGCAAACCAGCAUCUUAAAGAUCUCCCUCAGAGCCAAUUUAUGUUGUGGACUACAUGGCCAUC
rnacentral:lncRNA from 1 species